UGGGACAUGAGACUGGCACUUGGUAACAGGCUGGUGACUGGCUUGGUCCAGUGGCCUGCUUUUGUUCUUUGAGGUCCUUCUGCCUCCCUCCACUGCCUGCCUUCCAAUUCCUCAAGAGGUUAGCAAAGUCAUUUGGGUUGGAGGGGACACAGGCAAGAGAUAUGACAUCCAAACAAACAAACAAACAAACAAACAAACAGGGUCUCAUGUAGCCCAGGCUAGUCUUGAAUGCAUAUAUAGCUAGGUCGAUAUUGAACUUCCAUUCUUCCUGCUUUUCCCUCCUGAUUGCCGGGGUUACAAGUGUGAGUCACCGUGUCUAAUUUAUUAAUACUGUCCUGGUCAUUGAACCUAGAGUCUUCUGCAUGCCAGGCAAGCACGCUACCAACCUGAGCUACAUCCUCAGCCCCAAAGAAUGUUCAUGUAUGUUUUUUGUGCACACAGAAGAACCAUUUCACAGAGAAAGGCUAUCAUCAGUCCUUUCUGCCUAUCCAGCUAGACACCAGUUUCUUCCAGGAAAAAGAAACAAAGAUAAAACAUGUAAAUUGAUCAGUCACAGAUGGACCUUGCUGAUCAACAUCACCUGCUUCUGGAGAAAGAUCCUUGUUUUAUUUGACUUUCAGGAAUGGGCAGAAAAGGCCACUGGAAAAAGAUUUGGUCUUUCUGCAUAUGGACAAAGGAUUCAUGGUUUUCUGAGGAGAGGACUAACAGAGAAGACUCCUGGCCUACUCUGGAUGGAUGUCCAGGAAUGGGCUGGGAAGAGGUUAGGGGUUGGUUCCUGUUGUGGCCCGGCAUGUCUCAGCCCCAAGCCACGGUAGCCAGGAGGUUCAGCCUGAGUGGGGGAGCAUGGACUUGGAAACUCUUAGCAACCUAAUGGCGAUAAAGACCAAACACAGGCAUCUUGUCAUCUUUAGAGAGCUCUCAGUUCCAUGCUGCAAAACUGGAGUCUGACAGCCUUCCACAACGAGACACUCAACUUUUACUGAGACACCUCCCUGAGAGGCCUUGAAGUAGACCACGCCCUCUUUGACUCUCAGUCACCCAGGGGAAGAUGGGAGCCACUUGGCAUUCAUCCAGACCCAGGAGUGAAUGGAGGAAACAUCUGGAGACCCUUCCUGUGUCCCUUGGAGAGACUGUGUAACAGUUGGCUCUAUUUGGGGCAUUUCAAGAUGUGUGGUGCAAGAGACACACCUCAGACUUCCAGAGGCAGAAGGCAAAGGUCAAGCCACCUUUUUUGCAGCCAGAAGACCCCAGGGCCACACCCAGGACAGUGUGAACCAUGCCACUAGAGCACUCCUCUGGGACCUAGGGUGGCAGUGGACUUUUGUUUCUCAACAUGGGAAGGAAACCCUUCUAUGGCUUUUGGACACCCACCCUCCUGGGCAUAUAUACACUCUCCCAAAAUGCCCAGAGGGUAUCAAAGAC
rnacentral:lncRNA from 1 species